CCUGGUUACAAUGGAGGACAGAUUAACCACAUCUUAUGAAGACAUCAUUAAAUCUGGGGUGUAGGGGGAGCAGGUAGACACUAACUCAACGGGUCAGGCAGCAUCUCUGGAUAAAAGGAAUAGGUGACGUUUUGGGUGGAGGCCCUUCUUCAGGGGGAGAAGUUGUGUAUAAAAUAGAACAAUGGGAACAAAUAAUAAAAUUAUUAAAAUCUGCACCGUUGGUGUUUAAAUAGCAAAUUGGUUUUGAUAUGGGUAAGUGCAAGAUUGUGCAUUUUAAGAAA